ACGCACGCUGGCGGCGUGCUUAACACCUGCAAGUCGAACGGAAAGGCCCUGCUUUUGUGGGGUGCUCGAGUGGCGAACGGGUGAGUAACACGUGAGUAACCUGCCCUUGACUUUGGGAUAACUUCAGGAAACUGGGGCUAAUACCGGAUAGGAGCUCCUGCUGCAUGGGGGGGGUUGGAAAGUUUCGGCGGUUGGGGAUGGACUCGCGGCUUAUCAGCUUGUUGGUGGGGUAGUGGCUUACCAAGGCUUUGACGGGUAGCCGGCCUGAGAGGGUGACCGGCCACAUUGGGACUGAGAUACGGCCCAGACUCCUACGGGAGGCAGCAGUGGGGAAUAUUGCACAAUGGGCGGAAGCCUGAUGCAGCAACGCCGCGUGCGGGAUGACGGCCUUCGGGUUGUAAACCGCUUUCGCCUGUGACGAAGCGUGAGUGACGGUAAUGGGUAAAGAAGCACCGGCUAACUACGUG
rnacentral:rRNA from 1 species